AUUGAACGCUGGCGGCAGGCCUAACACAUGCAAGUCGAGCGGAUGAAGGGAGCUUGCUCCUGGAUUCAGCGGCGGACGGGUGAGUAAUGCCUAGGAAUCUGCCUGGUAGUGGGGGAUAACGUCCGGAAACGGGCGCUAAUACCGCAUACGUCCUGCGGGAGAAAGUGGGGGAUCUUCGGACCUCACGCUAUCAGAUGAGCCUAGGUCGGAUUAGCUAGUUGGUGGGGUAAAGGCCUACCAAGGCGACGAUCCGUAACUGGUCUGAGAGGAUGAUCAGUCACACUGGAACUGAGACACGGUCCAGACUCCUACGGGAGGCAGCAGUGGGGAAUAUUGGACAGUGGGCGAAAGCCUGAUCCAGCCAUGCCGCGUGUGUGAAGAAGGUCUUCGGAUUGUAAAGCACUUUAAGUUGGGAGGAAGGGCAGUAAGUUAAUACCUUGCUGUUUUGACGUUACCAACAGAAUAAGCACCGGCUAACUUCGUG
rnacentral:rRNA from 1 species